GGAAACACUGUGUCCGGGCUGCGGGCUGGAGGCAGAAGGUGGCCUACAAGGCUCGUACCAUGCUGUGGUAGAAAGCUGGAAGCACCGCCCAGUUCAGAAGUGCAAGGUCCAACAGGAAGAGCUCCCAGUCAAAGCCGAGGGCCCCCACCCUCUGCAGGAACCGGCACACCA